rnacentral:rRNA from 1 species
UACGGAGGGUGCAAGCGUUGUUCGGAAUUAUUGGGCGUAAAGAGCGUGUAGGCGGUUUGGUAAGUCAGAUGUGAAAGCCCGGGGCUCAACUCCGGAAGUGCAUUUGAAACUGCCUGACUUGAGUAUGGGAGAGGAGAGUGGAAUUCCCAGUGUAGAGGUGAAAUUCGUAGAUAUUGGGAGGAACACCCGUGGCGAAGGCGACUCUCUGGACCAAUACUGACGCUGAGACGCGAAAGCGUGGGGAGCAAACAGGAUUAGAUACCCUGGUAGUCCACGCCGUAAACUAUGAGAACUAGGUGUAGCGGGUAUUGACCCCUGCUGUGCCGUAGCUAACGCAUUAAGUUCUCCGCCUGGGGAGUACGGCCGCAAGGCUAAAACUCAAAGGAAUUGACGGGGACCCGCACAAGCGGUGGAGCAUGUGGUUUAAUUCGACGCAACGCGAAGAACCUUACCUGGAUUUGACAUCCUUUGACCGUCCUAGAAAUAGGAUUUAUCCGACUUGUCGGAACAGAGUGACAGGUGCUGCAUGGCUGUCGUCAGCUCGUGUCGUGAGAUGUUGGGUUAAGUCCCGCAACGAGCGCAACCCUUGUCUUUAGUUGCCAGUAUUAAGUUAGGCACUCUAAAGAUACUGCCUCGGUUAACGGGGAGGAAGGUGGGGAUGACGUCAAGUCCUCAUGGCCUUUAUAUCCAGGGCUACACACGUGCUACAAUGGGCUGUACAAAGGGUCGCUAUUUCGUGAGAAAACGCCAAUCCCAAAAAGCAGUCCUCAGUUCGGAUUGGAGUCUGCAACUCGACUCCAUGAAGUUGGAAUCGCUAGUAAUCGUGGAUCAGCAUGCCACGGUGAAUACGUUCCCGGGUCU